GAGCACGUAGGUGGGUUUGUAAGUCAGAUGUGAAAGCCUUCUGUUCAACGGAAGAAUUGCAUCUGAAACUGCGAGUCUUGAGUGUAGGAGGGGAGAAUGGAACUUCUGGUGGAGCGGUGAAAUGCGUAGAUAUCAGAAGGAACGCCGGCGGCGAAAACGAUUCUCUGGCCUAUUACUGACACUCAGUGUGCGAAAGCUAGGGGAGCAAACGGGAUUAGAUACCCCGGUAGUCCUAGCCGUAAACGAUGGGCACUAAGUAGAGGGGUUUU
rnacentral:rRNA from 1 species